rnacentral:rRNA from 1 species
CACGAGCGCACCCUCGUCCUAUGUUGCCAGCGGGUAAUGCCGGGGACUCGGAGAGACUGCCGGGGUCAACUCGGAGGAAGGUGGGGAUGACGUCAAGUCCUCAUGCCCCUUAUGUCCGGGGCUUCACACAUGCUACAAUGGCCGGUACAAAGGGCUGCGAUGCCGUGAGGUUAAGCGAAUCCUUUAAAGCCGGUCUCAUUUCGGAUUGGGGUCUGCAACUCGACCCCGUGAAGUCGGAGUCGCUAGUAAUCGCAAAUCAACAACGCUGCGGUGAAUACUUUCCCGGGCCUUGUACACACCGCCCGU